GCCGGCGACCGGCAAACGGGUGCGGAACACGUACGCAACCUUCCUUUAAGCGGGGGAUAGCCCAGGGAAACUUGGAUUAAUACCCCAUAAGAUAGUGGGAUGGCAUCAUCCAGCUAUUAAAGCUCCGGCACUUAAAGAUGGGCGUGCGGCUGAUUAGGUAGUUGGCGGGGUAACGGCCCACCAAGCCUUCGAUCAGUAACUGGUGUGAGAGCACGACCAGUCACACGGGCACUGAGACACGGGCCCG
rnacentral:rRNA from 1 species